rnacentral:rRNA from 1 species
UGGGGAAUUUUGGACAAUGGGCGAAAGCCUGAUCCAGCAAUGCCGCGUGUGUGAAGAAGGCCUUCGGGUUGUAAAGCACUUUUGUCCGGAAAGAAAUCCUCUGGGUUAAUACCUCGGGGGGAUGACGGUACCGGAAGAAUAAGCACCGGCUAACUACGUGCCAGCAGCCGCGGUAAUACGUAGGGUGCAAGCGUUAAUCGGAAUUACUGGGCGUAAAGCGUGCGCAGGCGGUUUUGUAAGACGGAUGUGAAAUCCCCGGGCUUAACCUGGGAACUGCAUUCGUGACUGCAAGGCUAGAGUAUGGCAGAGGGGGGUUAGAAUUCCACGUGUAGCAGUGAAAUGCGUAGAGAUGUGGAGGAAUACCGAUGGCGAAGGCAGCCCCCUGGGCCAAUACUGACGCUCAUGCACGAAAGCGUGGGGGAGCAAACAGGAUUCAGAUACCCUGGUAGUCCACGCCCUAAACGAUGUCAACUAGUUGUUGGGGAUUCAUUUCCUUAGUAACGUAGCUAACGCGUGAAGUUGACCGCCU